CUAAAUGAACCAGACUUCAUAUUUAGUUUAACUGUUUAUUAUACAAGUGUGUCAUUAUAAAGAUGUGCUUCCUUAUACAUUAUCAUACUGCAUCUGUUUUACUCAACUAUUGUAUUUGUAUUUAUAUUGUACUUUGUAUAUAUACUUGUGUAUUAGUUUUUUUUAGAAAAUAAAUGUAUUUAUCUAUCUAUCCAUAUACCUAUCUUUUUAGUAGAACGUGAUGGUUUUAAUCGUCAUUCUUACUGAACUUGUAGACAACUAUAGUACUUUUGAAGGAGGAAAAGAACUAAUAUUACUCGUUGAAGGAAUAUGUUCUUUUUUUUUGUUCUCAUCACUUGGCGUUCGUCGUCUUCCGUUAAAUUUUACAAAAUCUUCUUUUCUGAAACUUAUGGGCCAAAUUUAACAAAAGUUUGCCACAAUCAUCACAAGGGUAUUCAGGUUAGGAAAUGUCCGCCCUGAAAUUGUAAGACAAUUCAGACAUCCCGUUGUUGGGUUGCUUUCCCUGAAAUAUGUUCAGCAAAGUACGAUCAUCAAAUAAUUUAUUAUGACCAAAAUUGUCGAUUGACCCAUUGAGGAGUUAUUUUUGUAGUCAUUUUUAGGUAAAUGUUUGUAAUCUUUUAUAAAAAUUGUCUCAACUUAAUCCUCUGGUACCUGGUUUUCGAAAGUAUCUUAUGAUUAAGACAUGUCUUACAAAGGUCUUAGGACAUGUACUAAGUUACGAUUUGUCAUAACUUUUGUCGUAAACUUAAGACCCCUCUCGAC
rnacentral:lncRNA from 1 species